ACAGAACACGGAAUUACUUACAAAACCUGGAAACCUGGAAACCUUGAAAACACCUUGAAAGAUGCAUUAGCACCUGCUUUUCAUGCAGACAACGUCUGAAUGGAGGAGUGAGCGAGCCAGAUGAACUGCCUUGUAGGAACUGGCUCUGCCUGCAGCUCCAGUCGGUCUGUCACACACACACACACACACACACACACUUGCUGUGUCUCUAUCUGGUUUAUUACACAGAUUUACACAUCUGAAAAAAGCCUCCAGUUCACCAAAAAGAGUCAUUUGCUUUUUUUCCAGUCAGAGUCAAUUCAAAUGUCAGAGGGGUGUUCAAAACAAAUGGUUAAUAUUUUACCACUACCAGGAAGUGAUUCUCAAAAGUAUUUAUUUCCUCUUUGUUCUCACAGAAAACAAGCUGCUGAGGAACAGAAGUUGUUCAAGGAAAAAUAUUGUAACAUCACAGGUGGUUGUGGCAGAAGACCAGCAGCUGAGUCUUGUCUUUUAUUCCCCACAACAAAGUGGCACAAGGCACAGUUAACACACACACACACACACACACACACACACACAGAGAGAGUGGCAGGCUCCAUCUCUCAACAUCACAAUUUGGCAGGAAUCUGUUGUUAUAAUAAAUGUGUUUGCGUGUCUCACAAGUUAUCACCCCCAGCUGCAACAGGUAAAUAGGAGUUACUUUACAUCACGAAAGUCUGUUACCCAAAUGUAAUCAGCUGUACUCAAAACAUGUGGUGAAGAAAUAAACUGCUACUUAAUCACAAUUUCAGCUAACUGAAGAAGAAUAAAGUAUAACUGAAACCCAUGGCUGUUUGAAAGCUACUAAAUGAUAAAGGUUUGUGGUAAAAUCAAUAAUAAUGGACAGAAAUUGCACCAGAUGUACAAGAUACACACGGCCAUAUAGCCAGGAUUUUACUGAGCUCGCAAGUCCAAUCAGCCUUCACCCUCAAAUCAUUUGGGAGAGAUCUGAAAAUUCUGUAUUGCCUUCUAUUAAUUAGGAUAUUUUCCCAUGUUUAAUUAAAAAAUGUUAUUAUAUUGAUUUAUUUUUAAAAGUUGUUUGAUUUAAAAACAGUUAUAUGUCCCACAGUUUCUCUACAUGUUGGUCUAAAAGCUGUUUUCUAAGAGUAUUCUCCACUCUGCCAGGAUUAAAUUCUGGUGGAAAAAAAAAUGUUAAAUUGUUUUAUUUUUUCUUUACUUUUCUUGGACUAAUUUUAGGACACAGAGAGUCUGAAAAAUACUGGUAUUUGCCUUUUAACCCUUGAAUUUUGUUGACAUUGGCUUUACUUCCUCAUUGUUUGGGAUCCCACAGACCCCACUGCAACACGUAACUUUUAAUAGUCAUUUUAACAAUAAUAAUUUUUUCCCUUUAAAUAUAAAUAUAUAUAUAUAUGUUUUGGGAGAGGUAGUGCUGUGUAAAAAAGUAAUGUUAACAUCAAUCACUAUAUAGACAGCAGAUGAAAAUCCACUGUAUUUAUCCAUGUUUUUCAGCUUGGGUCUCUGAGACUGCAAACAGAGGAAGCAUCAAGGUUAUAAAACAAUGCUAAGUGAGUUUUUGAGAUAUUAAAGAUCUGUUUGAUUAAACAGAUAAUGUUGCUAAAGGCUGUCCUCUUCUGGUAGAAGCUUGUCACAGCAAGAUCUUCUCUACAUUUUCAGUCAUUCAUCACUCAUAAACAUGACUAUAAAAUACAAUGUGUGAAUAUGUAAAUACGAAAUCCAUAAGUAACGCUCACUCACAGUUGAUGAGAACAGGUCAUACAGAAAAUGGGUUUAUUUCUGAUACAGCAGGAUUUUGUUCGUUGUCUUACAUCACAUACAAAUGUCUCCUUGCAUUUAGCAUUGAAACAUGGUCUUCACCGUUUUGAAAUCUACUUGUGUAACUAUAACGGUACAGAAUGAAUCAUCAGAAGUUUAUAUUUUGUUUUGUUUGCACGGAUUAUCAUUGUUUCACAGACACAGUCUACAUCAAAGUUUCUUUACACCCCAAAGAAAACCAAAGAAAUCUACCACCAAAUAUGAAUCAAGUAUACUGGCCAAACAAAAGGACAAAACCUUUGUCUGAACAUCCUGAACUGUGGUGCAAAACCUGCCUUUUUGAGGGCAUAGAGAAAUAAAUCUGUAAAUCAUUCUUUAUAGAUAAAUAUAUGUAACUCAAAAUCAGAACCAAACGAGCU